AACGAACGCUGGCGGCAGGCUUAACACAUGCAAGUCGAGCGGGUGUAGCAAUACAUCAGCGGCAGACGGGUGAGUAACACGUGGGAACCUUCCUCGUUGUACGGAACAACUCAGGGAAACUUGAGCUAAUACCGUAUACGUCCGAGAGGAGAAAGAUUUAUCGCAAUGAGACGGGCCCGCGUCGGAUUAGCUAGUUGGUGGGGUAACGGCCUACCAAGGCGACGAUCCGUAGCUGAUCUGAGAGGAUGAUCAGCCACACUGGGACUGAGACACGGCCCAGACUCCUACGGGAGGCAGCAGUGGGGAAUCUUGGACAAUGGGCGCAAGCCUGAUCCAGCCAUGCCGCGUGAGUGAAGAAGGCCUUAGGGUUGUAAAGCUCUUUUGCCAGGGACGAUAAUGACGGUACCUGGAGAAUAAGCCCCGGCAAACUUCGUGCCAGCCGCCGCGGAAAAAC
rnacentral:rRNA from 1 species